UAGGAACUUAAUUUGACAUAAAUUGGAACGUUUGAUUUGUUUAUGCAUCAUAAGACAUGACGUGACUAUAAAGAAAAUCUGUCUUAGACAUAAUUGUGAGUGAUUUUACUCAAUAUACGUAAUGUUUAGUUCAAGCACAAGCCUACUGCGCAUGCGUGUGCUGGUCAAUUAAAUCCAAUUAGUGGCAAGGUGUGUUGGCAGGAAGUCUUAAAAAAAACAAAAAAAAACAGUGAAAUACUGCCGCAGAUGACCGAGUCUUAGUGUUUUGGAGCUAAGAAAAAUAAAGAAAACAAUAUAGGAAAUGUUUCUGAAGCUAAACAGACACUACUGCAGUGUUCUGCUUCUUUAUUCUAUCUUAUCAGUAAUAAACCUGCCGUCCGCGGGCCGGUGUGAGCGCACCGCUCGGCCAUUUUUCUUCACCCGUCCCUCCAUCGACCUUUCACCCACAGAGAGCUCCUUAAACUGGCCUCACCGCUCCACAGACGGACAAGACGGUCCUACACACCUGCCCCGACCAGAGAACCUCCGGGAUGGACCGGGGUCGGAAACCAACAGCUCCGGGUCGAGGCCCGAGCAGAGGCUCAAGCGCAGAAUGGUGUCCGCCUUUGGGGAGAAAAACCUGUACUACCGGCCGAGGCCCCCCUCAGGUCGCUGGGUCUUCUCCCCGCACAGCCCUGCUCAUGGGAACUGUAGUAAAGGGGAAAUCAGACGCAUUGUCCCGGGAAAGUUCUACAUUUCGGGCCAACUGGAGGCAAACAUUCCCAGUCUGGGAUACCAGUCCGACUCUGCUGCUUCAGCAGUCCGGGCUCAGCGAGGCGAGGGCAGGAACAAAGGUCAGCGUGUCAGCGGCUCAGAGGAGAGCUGGCAGAAGCUGCAGCCUGUGGUGGAGUGUGGAGAUGAUGCCAUGACCCUCACUGUCAGGAGGAGACGGGCUGUACAGCUGCUGCUGGAUCGAGGUGAAGCUGAGUUUUAUUUACCGUAUUUUUCGGAUUAUAAGGCGCACUAUCAAUGAAUGGGUCUAUUUUCAUACAUGAGGCGUACCGGUUUAUUAUUAUUAUUAUUAUUAUUAUUAUUAUUAUUAUUAUUAUUAUUAUUAUUAUUAUUAUUAAGACGCAUUAAGCAAAAUAAAAUAGUCAGAUAAGUCA
rnacentral:lncRNA from 1 species